rnacentral:lncRNA from 10 species
UUCAUAAACAUUCUUCCACGACGUGCUGUGCUGGAAUCCCUGAGCCUGCUCUGGCCUGGGAGGCUGCCUGAUUUGGCCUCUCUCAUGGAGCAACAGUCUUCCCACAGAGAGUAAAGUCAUCACAGUGGAGGCUUGCUCAACCUUUACAAAUUCUAAAACCACAGGCCAACAUUAACUUCCUCCAUUUCUCACCGGAAAUCAACAUGGCCACCACCAUCGUGCCUCAUCCUGCUCCUCUUGGACUGUAAAUCAUGGCUUGUUCAUUGUAAGCCGUCAAUUGCAUGUUGUUUCAGUUGUCUGCCAACUCAAUUCUAUCAGUGUGUUUUGACUGAUAGAAUUUUGUAAACUCCCUUUUACAUUUAUUUGUAUUUGACGAGAUGGUUUGAUUUUGUUGAGCUGUCUUCCUCUUUGUUAUCCCUCCUAUCACAGUUCUUGGAGCUCACUACCCCUUUUCAGAUUGUCAUGGGCAGGCAAAUUGCUGGUCCCCUCGCCUUGCAAGGUCCUUUGCAUAACCACACAGUUUUCACUUGAAAAGACAAUAGAGUUGCCAGAUAAAAUACAGGCCCCUGCAAGAUCUGGAACACACUCUGCACGAUGCCAUGCAGUAUUUGGGAUAUACUUAUGCCAAAACUUGUUCAUUAUUUAUGUGAAAUUCAAGUUUAAUUUGAAUUAAAUAUUGGCACCCGUAUUUUUAUUUGUUAAAUUUUUAUUUGUUAAAUAUUUGUUAAACUUUUAUUUGAUAUACUUAUGCCAAAACUUGUUCAUUAUUUAUGUGAAAUUCAAGUUUAAUUUGAAUUAAAUAUUGGCACCUGUAUUUUUAUUUGUUAAAUCUUGCCACCC